GAGCCCGGCGUAAACCUGCGGAGGAACAUGACAGAUACAAGAUUUUCUGAAAAUAAAAGCGAGUUCACCAUGACUACGACAGAUACUAGAUAAGCGGAAGCCGUGUUCGGAGCCACCAACAGUGUCUUCCUUGGAUUCGUUCGUGCAAUAAGGAGGGUACCCGGCCUUCUUCACGUGUCGAGCAACAAGGGUGAUCGAGGAGGAUUUUCGUGGCCCGGUGGGUGUCGUGCUCUUCAACCACUUGGAGGUGGACUUCACCGUGAAGCCCAGUGACUACUGCACACAGAUGAUCAUCCAGGUGAUCGCGAUGU